UCCUGGCUCAGGAUUAAUGCUGGUGGUAUGCAUAACACAUGCAAGUCGAACGAAGAGGGUUUACUCUCUUAGUGGCGAACGGGCGAGUAACACAUAUUUAACUUACCUGCGUGAGGAGAAUAGCAACUCGAAAGAGUUAUUAAUACUCCAUAGGUUUAAUUCGUUAAAUUAAAGGGGGCGUUCCGGGUGACCGGAGCCUCGCGAGCAGAGAGGAGUAUGUCCUAUUAGGUUGUUGGUGGGGUAAAUGCUUACCAAGCCGAUGAUGGGUAGCUGGACUGAAAGGUCGACCAGCCGCAAUGGGAUUGAAAUACGGCCCAUAUUCCUACGGGAAGCAGCAGUGAGGAAUUUUUCACAAUGGACAAAAGUCUGAUGGAGCAAUACCAUGUGAACAAUGAAGGUCUUCUGAUUGUAAAGUUCUUUUAUUUAGGAAAAAAAGCUUGAGAGGAAAUGAUUAAGCCUUGAUUGUACUAAAUGAAUAAGUGACAGCUAACUAUGUGCCAGCAGCUGCGGUAAAACAUAGGUCACGAGCAUUAUCCGGAUUUAUUGGGCGUAAAGGAAGCGUAGGCGGACAAGUUGAUCUAUUGUGAAAGGCACUUGCUCAACGAGUUGUUUGUGAUAGAUAUCGUUUGUCUAGAAUUAGUUAGGAGAUACUGGAAUUCAAUGUGUAGCGGUGGAAUGCGUAGAUAUAUUGAGGAACACCAGAGGCUAAGGCGAGUAUCUAGGACAUAAUUGACGCUGAGGCUUGAAAGCGUGGGGAGCAAAUGGGAUUAGAUACCCCAGUAGUCCACGCCGUAAACGAUGGGUAUUAGGUAUUUGGUCUAGGACUGAGUGCUGUAGCUAACGCGUUAAAUACCCCGCCUGGGUAGUAUAUAUGCAAAUAUGAAACUCAAAGAAAUUGACGGGGACCUGAACAAGUGGUGGAGCAUGUUG
rnacentral:rRNA from 1 species